UUAUGGCCAUAUCACGUUGGAGCACCAGUUCGUGUACGACCACCGAAGUUAAGCAACGCCGAGCCUGGCCAGUAUCUAAAUGGGUGACCGCUUAGGAAUACCA